rnacentral:misc_RNA from 1 species
CUUCCGUAGGUGAACCUGCGGAAGGAUCAUUAGUGAAUGUUUUACCAAAAAGAGGGCGCCACUCUGUGGGCCCUUGAAAUUCUUCACCUUUAUCCAUAUAUACACCUGUGCAUGCUGGUUGAAGCGCGGCUUUUCGCUCGCUUUGGCCUCCAUUUAUCCUAAACACUACAGUCGAUUGGAUGUACUAGAAAAAUCAAGGGUCACACCUUGUAAACAGAAAGAAAACUUUCGACAACGGAUCUCUUGGUUCUCCCAUCGAUGAAGAACGCAGCGAAAUGCGAUAAGUAAUGUGAAUUGCAGAAUUCAGUGAAUCAUCGAAUCUUUGAACGCACCUUGCGCUCUUGGGUAUUCCCAAGAGCAUGCCUGUUUGAGUGUCAUGAAUCCUUCGAACUCAAUGUUUGUUUCUUUUCGAGAGACUUGCAUUGCUAGUUUGGAUUUGGGCGUUGUUUUUGCCUUUAGCAAUAAAGGCUCGCCUGAAAGAUAGUAGCUGGAAAGCGCGAGGCUACUGAAGCCGACUUGUGCGCCCUUUUUUGCAAGCGUUCAUCGUUAUGGUUUUUUUCAUCGAUGAGCUAUAAACGUCUUGUGAGGGGGGGUGUAUCUAAGCAAGUUGGAGUCAGACUUUGCAUAAGCUUUUUGCUGCGAAUCCGCAGUUUAUAUUUAAACGCAACAUUUUUCAUAUCUGCCUCAAAUCAGGAG